rnacentral:rRNA from 1 species
ACCUACGGGGGGCUGCAGUGGGGAAUUUUGGACAAUGGGCGAAAGCCUGAUCCAGCCAUGCCGCGUGAGUGAAGAAGGCCUUCGGGUUGUAAAGCUCUUUCAGACGGAAAGAAAUCUUCUGGGCUAAUACCCUGGGAGGAUGACGGUACCGUAAGAAGAAGCACCGGCUAACUACGUGCCAGCAGCCGCGGUAAUACGUAGGGUGCGAGCGUUAAUCGGAAUUACUGGGCGUAAAGCGUGCGCAGGCGGUGAUGUAAGACAGAUGUGAAAUCCCCGGGCUCAACCUGGGAACUGCGUUUGUGACUGCAUCACUCGAGUACGGCAGAGGGAGGUGGAAUUCCGCGUGUAGCAGUGAAAUGCGUAGAGAUGCGGAGGAACACCGAUGGCGAAGGCAGCCUCCUGGGCCAGUACUGACGCUCAUGCACGAAAGCGUGGGGAGCAAACAGGAUUAGAUACCCCAGUAGUC